GUCUACGGCCAUACCACUGAGAAAGCACCGGUUCUCGUCCGAUCACCGAAGUUAAGCUCAGUAGGGCGCGGUAAGUACUUGGAUGGGUGACCGC
rnacentral:rRNA from 1 species